rnacentral:rRNA from 1 species
UACGUAGGGGGCUAGCGUUGUCCGGAAUCAUUGGGCGUAAAGCGCGUGUAGGCGGUCCGGUAAGUCCGCUGUGAAAGUCGGGGGCUCAACCCUCGAAUGCCGGUGGAUACUGUCGGGCUAGAGUGCGGAAGAGGCGAGUGGAAGUUCCUGGUGUAGCGGUGAAUGACGCAGAUAUCAGGAGGAACACCAAUUGCGAAGGCAGCUCGCUGGGACGUAACUGACGCUGAGACGCGAAAGCGUGGGGGAGCAAACAGG